rnacentral:rRNA from 1 species
AAUAAGGAGUCGGACCUGCCCGGUGAAGUUUUUUAACGGCCGCGGUACUCUGACCGUGCAAAGGUAGCAUAAUCAUUUGCCUUAUAAUUGAAGGCUGGUAUGAAUGGUUUGACAAGAAUAUAGCUGUCUCUUUAUGAUUUGAUAGAAUUUUAUUUUUAGGUGAAAAAGCCUUAAUUUAAUUAAUAGACAAGAAGACCCUAUCGAGCUUAAGAGAAUUUAGUAGAUGGUUGGGGCGACUGAGGAACAUGGAAAGCUUCCUUUAAUUUGGUAUUGAUCCAAAAAUGUUGAUUGAAGGAAUUAGUUACCGUAGGGAUAACAGCAUUAUCUUUUUUGAGAGUUCUUAUCGAAAAAGGGGUUUGUGACCUCGAUGUUGGACCAGAAUGUCCUGAAGAUGCAGAAGUCUUCGAGGGUUGGUCUGUUCGACCAUUAAAAUUCUA